GACGAACCGUGCGAACGUUGUUCGGAAUCACUGGGCAUAAAGGGCGCGUAGGCGGCUUUUCAAGUCAGGGGUGAAAUCCGGCAGCUCAACUGUCGAAGUGCCCUUGAUACUGAUGAGCUCGAGGGAGGUAGGGGUCUGUGGAACUUCCGGUGGAGCGGUGAAAUGCGUUGAUAUCGGAAGGAACGCCGGUGGCGAAGGCGACGGACUGGACCUCUUCUGACGCUGAGGCGCGAAAGCUAGGGGAGCAAACGGG
rnacentral:rRNA from 1 species